UACGUAGGGUGCAAGCGUUAAUCGGAAUUACUGGGCGUAAAGCGUGCGCAGGCGGUGAUGUAAGACAGAUGUGAAAUCCCCGGGCUCAACCUGGGAACUGCAUUUGUGACUGCAUAGCUAGAGUACGGUAGAGGGGGAUGGAAUUCCGCGUGUAGCAGUGAAAUGCGUAGAUAUGCGGAGGAACACCGAUGGCGAAGGCAAUCCCCUGGACCUGUACUGACGCUCAUGCACGAAAGCAUGGGGAGCAAACAGG
rnacentral:rRNA from 1 species